rnacentral:lncRNA from 1 species
UAUAAUGUAUUCACAUUUGAUUUAUAAAUGUUAAAAUAUUGUGUAGAAAAAAUGAGGAAAUAUAUUUAUUGUAACUUUUAUUAUAACUCAGUCGAGCUGUAAGUUACUUAUAGUAAACUUAGUAAGUACUUGUUGAUAUUGUAAUCAGUGUGUGACUGUAAAAUAUAUUUGCUUCAGAUACUGAAAUGACUAGAAAUUAUGGGUAAUUUGAAAUAUUUUAGGAAGGAAUGAUGAGAUGAUUAGUUAAAAACUAAUACGGUUUAUUAAAAAACUAAUACAGUGCCUUGUAUUGGGGAUGCUACCGUACAAAGAGGUAUAGAGAAUUAUUUGGUAAGGAAAUAUUACUUUGAGAGAUGGUUUUGUCUUUUCAGCAAGAAGCUAAGAUUAAUUU